ensembl:lncRNA
UUUCUUUGUGGUUUGUUUUGCACUGUUUUAACCCAGUGUCUGACCCAUGUACAUGGACAACACUAGGCCUGUACAUAUAGCUUUGGUCAGGUACAAAUCACAGGGCCCUGCUCCCAGCUACGUAGUUCUCCAGGAAAGCUAUAGAUCAGCACUAUAACUGGUUAUGACCUGAGCCCUUCAGCUCUCCUUGAAGUUUUAUGAUCAUUCCACAUAUACUGGAUCACUAAGGUUUGCAGUGAACUCGCCAAUCAAAGCCAGUGGAACUGGAAUUAAUUUAGUUCUUGGUGCCUCCCCCUCCCCCCCCAUUAAUAGUGUCGUGUAGCCGUGUUAAAUCAAGGCAGGGAUCUGUAUUACUCAGGAACAUACUUACUGUGGAGAAAAAAACCAAAUCACACUCCAUGCUUUCCUUCUCUGCUCUCCUCUUCGAAACCCACUGGAGAUGUGGGUUGUUUGUUGCCCUUAUGCAAGCGCUCAGGCAUUUCUUUCCCGGGGGUGCUUGGAUAGUGAAGGUAUCACCCACUCCAGUCACUGGCUUAUCAGCCCGGGGAGAUGGAAAGGGAGCAGCCUGUGGAAUGUCAGGCCCUGCUGGCUGCACGCCCAUAUACAGUUCAGCAACCUCGGCGAGAACAGCCCCGGCUGCUGCUGCGGCUGCCACUCGAGUUAUUUCUUCUGGGCUCAGCGGCAGCCUGCAGAGCUCUGCAAAGGGGAGUGGUUUCUUCGCUCCCUCCCUCCCAAGGGGGCGGGGGAGUCCUGCCCCAGCCCCAGCGAUGGGGGCAGGACCAGCCCGGGGCCGGUUUAAUUGAAAGCAAACCGCGGAGACUCCACGCGAGGCGAGAGCGCUGGCAGAAUGCCCCGGGCUGGCGCCCCCGCUCCCAGCUGUCAGUGAAGGAGCGAAGCUUCCCGCGGCCGGGAUGUUCAGCUGGCACAAGAGCUUCACCCUGGGAGCUCCCUGGAGACAAGGCAAGAAGAACCCACCAUCCAAGGGCAAGGUAGUGCUGACCAACAUGAAGAUACUGAGCAAUGAAGAGAGUCAAACCCAGGGGUUGACAGGAGAGCCACCUGCAGCCAUGGACUUUGCAGCGGAAUCCAGGCUUCCCAAAGUCGACAUCCCAUUAGAAUGCCAGGGAAAUCUGGGCACAAGAGACAUCUCUUCAAAACCAGACUAUGUGGCCACCCUGUCUGACCUCAGCACCUUAGAGUCCAAGUGCCAGCUUCACAGAUUCUCCAAAUUUGAAUCAGAGGAUUCUGGGGUUGAAUUGCCAAGUGGAGCCAAUUCUCCAUCUACACCAACAGGCUCCGAGAAGAGCUUUGUGCUUCACACCAGAGACUCGUCUUGUGACUCCGGAGUGCUCAGCAUCUCUUCUUCUCCGGGAAUUGACCAUGUCAUAAUGAGAAAGUGUAAAGACAUCAGAGAAACCAGCCAGUGUGCUUCAGACAGUGAAAAGCAAGUUGAAUAUUACAGCCAGGCAGCAGAUGUGGUGCAGAUCCCUACAGCUUCCCUGGAAGAUUUCAGUGACUGUCAGGAGGGAGAAAGUCCUAAUAAACUUUUUGGCCAAAGUGAAGGACAAUAUUUGGAAGAGAAACCCAGGAAAGAGAUAGACCUUUCCAUUAAAGACACUCCUCCAGCUGCUGCCCACAUAGAAGAGCAAAGGCCAAUCAGCAACCGUUACAAAGAGACCUUUGGGAGGAUGCAAGAACUUCAGCUCCAUGGACAUCAGCUCAAAAAAUAUCCCACAAGCGACAGCCUGGAUGAGUACAUGGAUGAGUGCUGUCGAUUAAGUGAGGUGAACCAAGGGAACACCAAGGCUCUUGGCUCUGGCCUGGGGUAUCUGGAACACAUCUGUCAGCUGAUAGAGAAAAUCGGGCAGCUGCAGGAGCACAAUCUGCGACUCCAAAAGCAAGUGUGCAGUUUGCAGAAGGAGCAGAAGAUGAGCCAGAUAAAGGAGGAGUAUUUUCUGCAGCACUGUUCCUGUGGAGCUGCCAGCAUCUUGCUCAACUCGUACCAGGAGGUGAAGACAUUUUUUACUGGGAGGAGCAGACCACACAGUCUCUUGGUUCAGAGUGGAAACCAGUCCGACCUUUCAAUCAUCCCAGAAAGAGGAAGUGACACACACCUGGAAUCAGGAGAUAGACAGCUGGUGCUGGGGCUCAGGAAGACCUGGAGUAAAAGGAGCAAUGAGGAGAAUGACCUCAGAGAUGCCUAUAAUCUGACUGAUGGCCGAGCUUUCCUGCUAAAGGACCCAACUACGAAAAAGAGGGCUGACCUCGGUAAGAGUAUCCCAGAUGAAAGCCACGCUUGGGGCAGAAUGAGGGAUCUCAUGAAGAAGACCAGGCUGAGGAACCAGAGCAAGUUGGGACUGUCAUCGGCAGCUCUGAAGAGGUCCUGCCCACAGCUCUACAGGCCAGAGGUUAAGACUUCGGAUCGAAGGAAGAUGGAGAGGAACUCCAUGAUUGUUCUGGGGCAAAGCACAAAGAAUGAAAACAUCUGGCCUUUCUGAGCAUCUGAAUCCAAUGGACCAAGGUCUGUGAUGGAAAAGCAAUUGACUGUAAGGGAGAAGAGUGCCUCCCUUUCUGUUCUCCCCCAUGAGCUGCUACAUUCCACGGCCUACAUUCUUGUUUCAGAGGUAAAUGAACUGGGGCGCUGCUGGACAUGAAAUUGAAAACCACGAGGCUACAUUGCGCAGACCAAGCUCUACAGCAGGAUCAGCAUCAAGGCAGCAGGGAGGGAGGAGAGAUAAAAGAAAGAUUUGCUGAAGGGCAGGGUGCUCAGCUGUACUAGAGUUUACUCUUGACAUGAAUGUAAAAGUGAACUUAAAACAAUGCUAUAUACCGGGAAUAUAGUUACCAUCUCAGCAAUAAUAACCAAGCAGAUUUGAUACAAUUUCAUAAACAAGCUACCUUAAGUCCUCCUGCUUGUGAAGUAUUAUUGAUCUCCUGGGCUUUAUUCAGCAGAAAGAGGCUAAACCCUCAUAGAACACCAGUACUUUAAGGAAAAACAAAGAUUGGGAGACUACAUGUAGUAGACACUGCUGGGUGUGGGCAGCAGUGCAAGACUUAAGGGAUUUUUUUAUAUCUCCACGUGUGGGUAUUACUAACAAGUCUGCACAUUUUAAAGGUCUCCACCCAGCAGUGAUUGGCUGGGGAGUUUUACUGAGGUCCCAUGCAAUGUCCAGCUCAAUCAAAGCCACCAGCCAAGAUUUUCUAAAGCUGGAUUUGUAAGUGCAAGGUUAGGUGCCAGUCUUGUGCGUGUGACCCCCUUUGCCAGUCUGGAGCUUCACUGACCUCAAUAGAUCCAGGGCCGGCUCCAGGCACCAGCCCACCAAGCAUGUGCUUGGGGCGGCACCUGGAGGGGGGCGGCGCGGCGUGGCGCGGCACUCCAGCCCGAGAUCGGGGCUGUGACUGGACUCGCCGCCCUCCCC